rnacentral:lncRNA from 1 species
ACCAGUGAUAGAAAGACAAAUAUCCCUGGCUACUUCGUAUUAGCAGCAAGCCUAGUAUGCCUUAUACACUGCCAGGGUAGAUGGUUUUUAUUUUUUUUAAGUUAAGUUGCUUUCCAACUCUUGACUGUGCAUAACUUUUUCUUAUAACCUGUGGUCUCUAUUUUUGCCUUCUGUUUAGCUCUUUCACUAGUAUCAUUACUUGCAAAUAUGCCAGAGCAUCUCAACUUUAUUCUACCAGGAUCACGAUUGAUUUAUAUUCUUCUUUUGGCUCCUUGCAGUGCUUUUUUCUGCUAGUGCAAGCUAUUUACAUGCACUUACUCUGCACUUUGCACACAUUAUUCCCCUUGUGGUAUUACCCCCUGUGAGGUCUAGACCUGUGCUAUCCAGUACUGAAUGAAUAAGAUAUUCCACAAAUACAUAUACUAUAUAUAGGUGUCUAUCUAUCUAUCUAUCUAUCUAUCUAUCUAUCUAUCUAUCUGUCUAUCUAUAGUCUCUCCAUAUUACCUAUAAUGUAUAUUAUAUAUAUGUAACUUAAAACUCUAGAUAUGCAGCUAAAAAAUGAACUGGCUAUAGUCUUUGCCCUUUUUAGUAUUUAACUAAAGACCUGCCUUUCUAAAGAAAGCUUCUGGUUUCAAUCGGAUAAAAUUAAUUUUUGACCUUGCUUGUACAUGGGAUGAGAGUUUAUAAAGUUAUAAUAUAAUUGGCAAUCUUGUGUCACUGUAAGUUUGACAUAUAUCAUUUGUUAGUGAGAAAGCAGAAGCUAUGCUAUGAAAUCCUCUCCCUCUCUGCUUUGAAGAAAUUUUUAUGGCAGAAACUAAACUAUAAUGCAGCUUAAACUUGGAACUAAGCCGAACAACUUGGAUUCAUGGGCAUAUCAGCAUCAUUAUGAUGGUGAUGAUCAUGAUGAUCAUUACUACCUUACCAUUAUCAUCUCAUCACAAGUAUUAUUAUUACUACUAAUGAGAGUUGUAAUUAUAUUACUUUUAUGUUGAUUCUUUCUCCAAAAUGAAUUCCUCCCCUCUCUUCCCAUUUUUUUACCUCGUCCUAAUUGUGUUUAUAGAAACAGAAGUGACAAUUUACUUAAUUACAUAAUACUAAACAAAAGAAUAUUGUAUCAACACUGAUUUGGCAUGGAAUGAGGUUGCCUAUUAAAGCUGUAUUAUCAU